UACGGGAGGUGCAAGCGUUGUUCGGAUUUACUGGGCGUAAAGCGCACGUAGGUGGGCUUGUAAGUCGGAUGUGAAAUCCCCGGGCUUAACCUGGGAACUGCAUCCGAAACUACAAGUCUUGAAUGCUUCAGAGGUUGGUAGAAUUCCAGGUGUAGGAGUGAAAUCCGUAGAUAUCUGGAGGAAUACCGGAGGCGAAGGCGGCCAACUGGGAAUGCAUUGACACUGAGGUGCGAAAGCGUGGGGAGCGAACAGG
rnacentral:rRNA from 1 species